ACUCAAAGGAAUUGACGGGGACCCGCACAAGCAGUGGAGCGUGUUGAUUAAUUGGAUGCUAAGCCAAGAACCUUACCCAGACUUGACAUCCUUGGAAUUACUUCGAAAGAAGUGAGUGCCUUCGGGAAUCAAGUGACAGGUGUUGCAUGGCCGUCGUCAGCUCGUGUCGUGAGAUGUUAGGUUAAGUCCUUCAACGAGCGCAACCCUUAUGAAUAGUUGUAUUUUUCUAUUUAGACUGCCCCGGUAACGGGGAGGAAGGGGGGGAUGAUGUCAGGUCAUUAUUACCCUUACGUCUGGGGCUUCAAACGCGCUACAAUGGCCGGUACAAUGGGCAGCCAAGUCGUGAGACGGAGCAAAUCCCAUCAAAGCCGGUCCCAGUUCGGAUUGCAGGCUGAAACUCGCCUGCAUGAAGUCGGAAUUGCUAGUAAUCGCAGGUCAGCACACUGCGGUGAAUACGUUCCCGGGUCUUGUACACACCGCCCGU
rnacentral:rRNA from 1 species